rnacentral:lncRNA from 1 species
CAUGCUCUCUUUCAAAAUUGGCAUAGUCAGGCAAUCUUUUAAUGGAUUUACAAGCAUAAAAAAUCAAACCAUGUAACUUAUCUUCAAAAUCAGAAUGCUCAUUCCACUGGGCUCCACAUUCAACACAUGCAUUUUUUAUUUCUUCUAGCGACGCAUCUAUUACUUAGCUUCCAAAACAUCCAAAACAUCAAAAAAACUGGGAGUUCUAAUACUAAUCCUGAUUAAACACAUCCAAUUUUCCACUGCAAUUUCACAUGUUGAUAAGGCAGAUUGUGUUGAUCCUUUCAAAGGAACCAAUUCUCAUCCUUAGAGCACAAUACAUAUUUUUGUGGCAAUAAGGUAUUGCAAAUGGCCAUUUCAUUUUGACUUGAUCUCUUUGGCUGGGCAUAUACUUUGAGAAAUAUGUAUUGCAUAUCUUCAGCUACCUAGCACUUAACUGAACCUAGCAAUUGUGAAUUAAUAUACCGCUCUACCUAGAUAUAUAUUAAUACAUUGGAUGCAGUGAAAUUUUUGGAGAAAGGAAAAAAAAAUCAGACCUUAAAAUUUGAUAUGGCUGAUCAAUUUUUUCAUAUCAGCUCAUGACAUGCUCGAUCCAACUUAAGUUUAGAUUGCCUCAAUAAACUCUUGUAACAAUUACGUUAUUACUCUUCUCGACAAAAGUUAUCAGAAAAUUACCUUCUCAUCCAUCUAAAGAUAAACAAAAUAAAACCUUUCUAACAUCCGGCGUUAUAUUAGAUCUUUUUUUAAAAAAUAUCAAUCCAAAAAAAGUCACACCUUCAAAUCCAAAACAAACUCCAUCACUCACUUUUCGUAGUUCAAUCAUAAUUUUAUUAUACUCCAAAAGGUGAAAUCGAUAAUUAAAAUAGUAAAAACUACAAACCAAAUGCUAUAGCUUGUAAUCAAAACUAAGUGGAACGAAAAUAGCCCCAGACAAUGGAAUCAAUAAUUAAAGUUAUCAGGAAAUCGCCUUCUUAUCCAUCUAAAGAUAAACAAAAUAAAACCCUUCUAACAUCCAGUGUUAUAUUCAAUCUUUUUUUAAAAAAACAAUCAAUCCAGAAAAAGUCGCACAUUAAAAUCCAAAAUAAACUCCAUCACUCGCUUUUCGUAGUUCAAUCAUGAUAUCAUGCUCCAAAAGGUGAAAUUGAUAAUUAAAAUAAUAAAAACUAUGAAUAAAUACUAUAGCUUGU